rnacentral:misc_RNA from 1 species
GAUGAAGAACGUAGCGAAAUGCGAUAAGUAAUGUGAAUUGCAGAAUUCAGUGAAUCAUCGAAUCUUUGAACGCACACUGCGCCCCUUGGUAUUCCGAGGGGCAUGCCUGUUCGAGCGUCAUUAUCACCCCUCAAGCUCAGCUUGGUGUUGGGGCCGGCCCGUCACAGGGCCGCCCCUAAAAGCAGUGGCGGUGCCAUCUGGCUCUACGCGUAGUAAUACUCCUCGCGACAGAGUCCCGGUGGUGUCCUGCCAGAACCCCCCAUCUUUUUAAUGAUUGACCUCGGAUCAGGUAGGGAUACCCGCUGAACUUAAGCAUAUCAAUAAGCGGAGGA